rnacentral:rRNA from 1 species
UACGGGGGGGGUAAGCGUUGUUCGGAAUUACUGGGCGUAAAGGGCUCGUAGGCGGCCAACUAAGUCAGACGUGAAAUCCCUCAGCUUAACUGGGGAACUGCGUCUGAUACUGGAUGGCUUGGAUUUGGGAGAGGGAUGCGGAAUUCCAGGUGGAGCGGUGAAAUGCGCAGAUAUCAGGAGGAACACCGGUGGCGAAGGCGGGUCUCUGGGCCGAUACUGACGCUGAGGAGCGAAAGCGUGGGGAGCGAACAGG